CACGAACAGGGCAAACCCGCCGCGAGACGGGGACGCAAAGUUUCCGGUCUCGAUAUCCAUGCCUUUCAGGGGCUUCCCCACUGGCAGUCGAGACAGCGGGACCGCCGGCA
rnacentral:ncRNA from 1 species